rnacentral:rRNA from 1 species
UACGGGGGGGGCAAGCGUUGUUCGGAAUUACUGGGCGUAAAGGGUUUGUAGGUGGCUUGUUAAGUCAGACGUGAAAUCCCUCAGCUUAACUGGGGAACUGCGUCUGAUACUGGCGAGCUUGAGUGCAGGAGAGGAACGCGGAAUUCCAGGUGUAGCGGUGAAAUGCGUAGAUAUCUGGAGGAACACCGGUGGCGAAGGCGGCAUCCUGGACCGGCAUUGACGCUGAGGCGCGAAAGCCAGGGGAGCAAACGGG